rnacentral:rRNA from 1 species
UAGGGAAUCUUCCACAAUGGGCGCAAGCCUGAUGGAGCAACACCGCGUGAGUGAAGAAGGUUUUCGGAUCGUAAAGCUCUGUUGUUAAAGAAGAACACGUAUGAGAGUAACUGUUCAUACGUUGACGGUAUUUAACCAGAAAGUCACGGCUAACUACGUGUCAG